UAGGCUCAAUUCCAUAGGUGUUGAAGGCUG
rnacentral:piRNA from 1 species